CAGUAGCCGCGGUAAUACGUAGGGUGCGAGCGUUAAUCGGAGUUACUGGGCGUAAAGCGCGCGCAGGUGGUUUAAUAAGUCUGAUGUGAAAGCCCACGGCUCAACCGUGGGGGGUCAUUGGAAACUGUUAAACUUGAGUGCAGGAGAGAAAAGUGGAAUUGCUAGUGUAGCGGUGAAAUGCGUAGAGAUUAGGAGGAACACCAGUGGCGAAGGCGACUUUCUGGACGAAAACUGACGCUGAGGCGCGAAAGCCAGGGGAGCGAACGGGAUUAGAUACCCCCGUAGUCCCUGUCUCUUAUAC
rnacentral:rRNA from 1 species